rnacentral:rRNA from 1 species
UACAACUUUCAGCAACGGAUCUCUUGGCUCUCGCAUCGAUAAAAAACGCACCGAAAUGCGAUAAGUAAUGUGAAUUGCAAAAUUCAGGGAAUCAUCGAAUCUUUGAACGCAUCUGGCGCUCCUUGGUAUUCCAAGGAGCAUGCCUGUUUGAGUGUCAUAA